AACGAACGCUGGCGGCAGGCUUAACACAUGCAAGUCGAGCGCCCCGCAAGGGGAGCGGCAGACGGGUGAGUAACGCGUGGGAAUCUACCGUGCCCUAAGGAAUAGCUCCGGGAAACUGGAAUUAAUACCUUAUACGCCCUUCGGGGGAAAGAUUUAUCGGGGUAUGAUGAGCCCGCGUUGGAGUAGCGAGUUGGUGGGGGAAAGGCCUACCAAGGCGACGAUCCAUAGCUGGUCUGAGAGGAUGAUCAGCCACAUUGGGACUGAGACACGGCCCAAACUCCUACGGGAGGAAGCAGUGGGGAAUAUUGGACAAUGGGCGCAAGCCUGAUCCAGCCAUGCCGCGUGAGUGAUGAAGGCCCGAGGGUUGUAAAGCUCUUUCACCGGUGAAGAUAAUUACGGUAACCGGAGAAGAAGCCCCGGCUAACUUCGUGCCAGCAGCCGCAGUAAUAC
rnacentral:rRNA from 1 species